rnacentral:lncRNA from 1 species
GGAAUCAAUUCAACAAGAAGAGCUAACUAUCUUAAAUAUGUAUGCACCCAAUACAGGAGCACCCAGAUUCAUAAAACAAGUUCUUAGAGACCUACAAAGAGACUCAGGCUUCCACAGAACAAUAGUGGGAGACAUUAACACCCAUUGUCAAUAUUGGAUCAUCUAGACAGAAAAUUAACAAGAAAGGACUUGAACACAGCUCUGGGUCAAGUGAAUCUCAUAGAUAGCUACAGAACUCUCCAACACAAAACAACAGACUAUAUGUUAUUCUCAGUGACAUAUGACACUCUAAAAUUGAUCACAAAAUUAGAAUUAAAACACUCCUCAGCAAAUGCAAAAUAACUGAAAUCAUAACAAUCUUUCAGACCACAGUGCAAUGAAAUUAGAACUCAAGAUUAAGAAACUCACUCAAAACCACACAACUACAUGGAAAUUGAACAACCUGCUCCUGAGUGACUUCUGGGUAAAUAAUAAAAUUAAGGCAGAAAUCAAGAAGUUCUUUGAAACCAAUGAGAACAAAGAGACAAUGUACCAGAAUCUCUGGGAGGCAACUAAAGCAGUGUUAAGAGUUUCUCCACAGACACUACCCAAAGCAGUCCUUCACUACAGUGGCAGACAGACCUGAAAAUUUUCAUCUGAAGCAGCAGAGUGAACUGCAGAGUCAGGUCACCAACCAGUGUGGAGGCUAACAGCAGGCCUCUUUGGGGAUUCCAGGUGGAAGUGUUGGACAUCUGUAGUAUUCCUGGUCUCGAAUCAUCCUGAUAUUCUUCAUUUUGUUAUUCACAUUGGACUAGG